rnacentral:pre_miRNA from 1 species
CAAUUGGGGCCGGAUCCAAAGCCCACUGAAUUCACUGGGAGUAGUUCCAUUGACUUCAAUGAGCUUUGGAUCCAGCUCUUGUUUG